AAUCUCUGAUCGUCACGGCCAAAGAGAGCUCGAGCAAGACAGUUAUUUUCCAUGUAUUCGUAUAUCACUAAUAACUGGUUCCCUUCUAUGCAACAACCGUAAAGCUUGACAAGGUUUGGGUGUUGUAGAGCUGAAAUCAUGCCUAUCUCAUUGACAAAUUCACGAUUUCCUUGCUUUGACUUGGAAGACAGCUGCUUAACAGCUAUGAUGGCACCAUCGGCGAGUACACCCUUGUAAACUGGUCCAAACCCUCCUUCACCAAUUUUGUUGGCAGGAUCAAAGUUAUUAGUAGCAGCUUUAAUUUGUCUA
rnacentral:misc_RNA from 1 species